UGCAAAUUGGAUUACCCUGAGCUAACCAGCUAGCUUAUACAUUACUAUAAUUUAGCAAUAUUUAUAACAUUACAAGACUUAACCCUAUAAAUUAAAACAUUUUUUUACCUGAGUAUGGGAGACAGAAAAGGUUUAUCAUAAAGCAAUAGAAAAAGUACCGUAAGGAAAGCUGAAAGAGAAAUGAAAUAACCCAUAUAAGCACUAAAAACCAAAGACUAAAACUUGUACCUUUUGCAUCAUGAUUUAGCCAGUAUUAUCAAGCAAAGAGAUCUUUAGUUUGAUACCCCGAAACCAGGUGAGCUACCCCGAGACUGCCUAUAUAAUUUAGGGCUAACCCGUCUCUGUGGCAAAAGAGUGGGAAGAGCUCCGGGUAGAAGUGACAGACCUACCGAACCUGGUGAUAGCUGGUUGCCUGAGAAAUGAAUAGAAGUUCAGCCUCGCACACCCUUAAUCAAACAAUACAUCGCUAAGAUUAGUGGAAAAAUACGAGAGUUAGUUGAAGGGGGUACAGCCCCUUUAACAAAGGAUACAACCUUUACAGGAGGAUAAAGAUCAUAAUAUAUAAAACAUAAUGUUAUAGUGGGCUUGAAAGCAGCCAUCUAAGUAGAAAGCGUUAAAGCUCGGACGGAAAGGAGUCUAUUAUACCGAUAAAAAAUCUUAUUCCCCUAAAUAUAUUAGGCCAACCCAUGCCCACAUGGGUGAGAUUAUGCUAAAAUGAGUAACAAGAAGACCUGAUCUUCUCGACUAAGUUCAACGGCCGCGGUAUUAUGACCGUGCAAAGGUAGCGCAAUCACUUGUCUUUUAAAUAGAGACCCGUAUGAAUGGCUAAACGAGGGCUUAACUGUCUCCCCCUUCCUGUCAGUGAAAUUGAUCUAUCCGUGCAGAAGCGGGUAUAACACUACAAGACGAGAAGACCCUUUGGAGCUUAAGGUACAAAAUUUUAACCACGUUAAACAACUCCAAAAAAAGCAAGAACCUAGUGGAUCUAAAACUUUACCUUCGGUUGGGGCGACCACGGAGGAAAGAAAAGCCUCCGAGUGGAAUAGGCCAAGACCCUAAAGCCGAAAGAAACAUCUUUAAGCCGCAGAACAUCUGACCAACAAUGAUCCGACCAUGAGUCGAUCAACGAACCAAGUUACCCAAGGGAUAACAGCGCAAUCCUCUCCCAGAGCCCUUAUCAGCGAGGGGGUUUACGACCUCGAUGUUGGAUCAGGACAUCCUAAUGGUGCAGCCGCUAUUAAGGGUUCGUUUGUUCAACGAUUAAAGUCCUACGUGAUCUGAGUUCAGACCGGAGCAAUCCAGGUCAGUUUCUAUCUGUAACGCUACUUUUCCUAGUACGAAAGGAUCGGAAAAAGGGGGCCCAUACUUAAGGCAUGCCCCACCCCUAAUUCAUGAAAACAAAUAAAUAAAUAAGGGGGGGCUAAAACUACCGCCCAAGAUGAGGGCA
rnacentral:rRNA from 1 species